UAAGGCCAUACCACCCUGAACGCGCCUGAUCUCGUCUGAUCUCGGAAGCUAAGCAGGGUCAGGCAUGGUUAGUACUUGGAUGGGAGAGUACAUGUUUAUCUUUCC
rnacentral:rRNA from 1 species